rnacentral:rRNA from 1 species
UUGCAGGAAAUCUGACAGUCUAGAGUUGUUCAGUACUGGAAACUUGUGAAAUCUUAGACAAGGAAGGAUUCCUUCAGAAAUGUUAUGGAUAUGAAUGCUAACCUUGGUGGAUUUGCAGCAUCACUGAGGAAAAAGGACGUCUGGGUAAUGAAUGUAGUCCCUUUCGUGGAAUCUGGAAAACUGAAGAUCAUAUAUGACCGUGGUUUGAUAGGGACAAUCCAUACCUGGUAA